CAGUAGCCGCGGGAAUACCGAGGGUGCAAGCGUUAAUCGGAAUUACUGGGCGUAAAGCGCGCGUAGGUGGUUUGUUAAGUUGGAUGUGAAAUCCCCGGGCUCAACCUGGGAACUGCAUCCAAAACUGGCAGGCUAGAGUAGGGCAGAGGGUGGUGGAAUUUCCUGUGUAGCGGUGAAAUGCGUAGAUAUAGGAAGGAACACCAGUGGCGAAGGCGACCACCUGGGCUCAUACUGACACUGAGGUGCGAAAGCGUGGGGAGCAAACAGGAUUAGAUACCCCAGUAGUCCCUGUCUCUUAUAC
rnacentral:rRNA from 1 species